rnacentral:rRNA from 1 species
CAAUAGCGUAUAUUUAAGUUGCUGCAGUUAAAAAGCUCGUAGUUGGAUUUCGGGUGGGAAUGGCCGGUCCGCCGUUUCGGUGUGCACUUGCUACGCCCACCUUGCUGCCGGGGACGUGCUCUUGAGUUCACGCUCGGGACACGGAGUCGGCGAGGUUACUUUGAGUAAAUUAGAGUGUUCAAAGCAGGCCUACGCUCUGAAUACAUUAGCAUGGAAUAACACGAUAGGACUCUGGCCUAUCUUGUUGGUCUGUAGGACCGGAGUAAUGAUUAAGAGGGACAGUCGGGGGCAUUCGUAUUUCAUUGUCAGAGGUGAAAUUCUUGGAUUUAAGAAAGACGAACUACUGCGAAAGCAUUUGCCAAGGAUGUUUUCAUUAA